CAGUAGCCGCGGUAAUGCGAAGGGGGCUAGCGUUGUUCGGAUUUACUGGGCGUAAAGCGCACGUAGGCGGACUUUUAAGUCAGGGGUGAAAUCCCGGGGCUCAACCCCGGAACUGCCUUUGAUACUGGAAGUCUUGAGUAUGGUAGAGGUGAGUGGAAUUCCGAGUGUAGAGGUGAAAUUCGUAGAUAUUCGGAGGAACACCAGUGGCGAAGGCGACUCUCUGGUCUGUAACUGACGCUGAGGAGCGAAAGCGUGGGGAGCGAAUAGGAUUAGAUACCCCAGUAGUCCCUGUCUCUUAUAA
rnacentral:rRNA from 1 species